rnacentral:rRNA from 1 species
UACAGAGGGUGCGAGCGUUAAUCGGAAUUACUGGGCGUAAAGCGUGCGUAGACGGUUUCGUAAGUCGGGUGUGAAAUCCCCGGGCUCAACCUGGGAAUUGCAUUCGAAACUGCGAGGCUAGGGUACGGAAGAGGGAAGCGGAAUUUCCGGUGUAGCGGUGAAAUGCGUAGAUAUCGGAAGGAACAUCAGUGGCGAAAGCGGCUUCCUGGUCCAGCACCGACGUUCAGGCACGAAAGCGUGGGGAGCAAACAGG